rnacentral:lncRNA from 1 species
UGGAGACUCUUCACCAAAAUCCAGAGAGGACACUUUUAGGGACAUUCCGGUCAUUUCGAGCCACGAAUUACGGCCUUCAAAUGAUUUGACGACAAGUAUUUAGGAGAAGGAAGAUGAACAGUGGAAUCCACGUGGUGGAGAGCUCACAUCCUUCUUUACGUAGAAGAUAAACAAAGGAAUGUGCAAAAGAAAUAUAUAUAUAUAGUAAGGGCCCUCCUUACUUUCCAUUUCCAGUUUCUCUGAAACUGCAACUCUUUUGGCCUUCCAAACC